rnacentral:rRNA from 1 species
UUACGUUGUUAUCCCUAAGGUAAUUUAAUCUUAUAAUCAAAAUAAAUGGAUCAAAAAUAUAUACAUAAAUAUAUAAAAACAAAGAGGAGUUAAAUAAUAUUCCUCCCAUCACCCCAACAAAACAAUUCACUCCCACUCAAUGUAAAUAAAUACAAACAACGAAUAAAUAGGAAAAUUGUCAAACUCUAUAGGGUCUUCUCGUCCCAUAAAAACAUUUAAGAAUUUUAACUCAAAAACCAAAUUCAAUAAACCAAUACCUCUAAGACAGCUUAUGUCUCGUCAAGCCAUUCAUACCAGAUCACAAUUAAAGAACUAAUGAUUAUGCUACCUUUGCACGGUCAAAAUACCGCGGCCCUUCAACUCUAAGUCAGUGGGCAGGCCAUACUUCAAAAACUAACAAGAAAAGAUGUUUUUGAUAAACAGGCG